UGGGGAAUAUUGCACAAUGGGGGAAACCCUGAUGCAGCCAUGCCGCGUGUAUGAAGAAGGCCUUCGGGUUGUAAAGUACUUUCGGUAAUGAGGAAGGUGUUGUAUCUAAUAGGUACAACAAUUGACGUUAAUUACAGAAGAAGCACCGGCUAACUCCGUGCCAGCAGCCGCGGUAAUACGGAGGGUGCGAGCGUUAAUCGGAAUGACUGGGCGUAAAGGGCAUGUAGGCGGAUGAUUAAGUUAGGUGUGAAAGCCCUGGGCUCAACCUAGGAAUUGCACUUAAAACUGGUUAUCUGGAGUAUUGUAGAGGAAGGUAGAAUUCCACGUGUAGCGGUGAAAUGCGUAGAGAUGUGGAGGAAUACCGGUGGCGAAGGCGGCCUUCUGGACAGAUACUGACGCUGAGAUGCGAAAGCGUGGGGAGCAAACA
rnacentral:rRNA from 1 species